GACCGCUUAGCUCAGCUGGCAGAGCAUCAGACUUUUAAUCUGAGGGUCCCGGGUUCGAGACCCGAGCGGUCA